rnacentral:rRNA from 1 species
UACGAAGGGUGCAAGCGUUGCUCGGAAUUAUUGGGCGUAAAGGGUAGGUAGGUGGUUACGUAUGUCUGGGGUGAAAUCCCUGAGCUUAACUCAGGAAGUGCCUUGGAAACGGCGUAACUAGAGUAUUGGAGAGGUUCGUGGAAUUCCCGGUGUAGCGGUGAAAUGCGUAGAGAUCGGGAGGAACAUCAGAGGCGAAGGCGGCGAACUGGACAAUAACUGACACUAAACUACGAAAGCGUGGGGAGCAAACAGG